rnacentral:lncRNA from 1 species
AUGGAGGUUUUGGGCUACAACCACGCCAUGUUUGGCUUCGCACCUUACGGACCAUACUGGCGCAACAUGCGUAAAAUUACCACUCUCGAGCUCCUCUCGAACCACCGACUGGAUAUGCUCAAACAUGUACGAGAAUCUGAGAUGAAGGUAUCCUUACAAGAGUUAUAUCAACUUUGGAAAGAGAACAAAAAUAGCUCUGAUAAGGUUUUGGUGGAGAUGGAUAAAUGGUUCCGCGAUGCAACCGCCAACGUGAUUCUCAAGAUGAUAGUAGGGAAGCGAAUUUCGAGUUUGGGGAAUGAUGCAGAGAGUGGGAGAUGGAAGAACGCGUUGAAGGAGUUCUUCGAGUUGAGUGGGAAGUUUUUGGUAGCGGAUGCAUUCCCAUUUUUGAGAUGGUUGGACAUUGGGGGAGACGAGAGGUUGAUGAAGAAGGUGAAGAAAGUACUGAACGAAGUUGCUGAGGAAUGGUUACAAGAGCACAAGCAAAAGAGAGCUUCGGGUGAGUUCAGGGACGAGGAAGAAGACUUCAUGGAUGUCAUGCUGUCAAUCCUCACCGACGCCAAGGAGUAUGAUGCUGAUACAAUAAACAAAGCUACGUGCCUGGUAUGCUCUAAUUUGAUUUGUUAAUUCAUCAAUAAUCAAUCAUAAACUUCAUUUAGAAAUAACUCCAUUCAGAUUUUACCUUUGACAAUUUAAAUUAUAUAUGUUAUCUUUCGAUUACUUUUCAGAUUCUUAUCUUAGCAGCCACUGAUCCCACAGCGGUUACAUUGACAUGGUGUUUAGCCUUAUUACUCAAUAAUCGUGAUGCGUUGAAGAAAGCACAGCAAGAAAUAGACAUCCAUAUCGGUAAAGACAAGCCAGUGGAGGAAAAUGAUAUAAAGAAUUUAGUUUACCUUCAAGCCAUAAUCAAGGAAACCUUGCGAUUACACCCUGCCGGACCACUCGCAGUGCCUCAUGAAUCCAUGGAAAACUGCACCGUUAAUGGCUACCAUAUCCCUGCAGGCACAGAACUUCUCAUCAAUCUUUACAAAAUCCAUCGCGAUUCUCGCGUAUGGUCUGAUCCUUACAAGUUUCAACCGGAAAGGUUUUUGACUACUCACAAAAAUUUUGAUGUAAGGGGUCAGAAUUUUGAGUUGAUACCAUUUAGUAGUGGAAGAAGAAUGUGCCCUGGAGUUUCCUUUGCGCUUCAGGUUGUGCAGCUUACGCUAGCCAAUUUGCUGCAUGGGUUUGACUUAGCAACGCCAUUCGAUGAACCAGUUGAUAUGCGAGAGGCAGCCGGGCUGUCAAAC